CAUCUAGGACUCUUAAGACCUAACUGAAAAAAAUAAAAUAAAAGCCAGGGAGUACAGUUUUAAGUAAACAAGAACUCAUCCUGGCAUCCAGAUUUUGUAGAAUUACAAGUCAGCCUGUUGCCAAUUCCUUCAGACAUCUACUGAUGGUGCUGGUUCUGGGAGUUUACAUAACAGGAGCUAAAUCAGCUGGCUCAGAUGCUAUACGGUGCCUCUGUUCUCAGUUUUCCUUGCUAGUUAAAAACCUGGGCAAACAUAAUAACAUUAAACAAAUGAUGUAAAAAGUAUUGUUUCUACAAUUUUUCCACACUUAAUAUAUUAUUUUUACAUUAUUUCUUCAUCAAAAAUACUUUAUUACAAUUUUAGGAAAUUAAUCUGUUCACCUCCUUUCUUUUGCACAUGGAGAAAUGUUCUGGGGAUAAUUAAAACUCUGUGCCAGAAACCUGAAUUAUUUAGAGGGAAAUCUUGACUGAAGUUGUGCUUUUCUUUGUGUGCAUGCUAAAAUUUUUCACACUGGAAAUUAUUCUAGGGUCAGUCUUUAUGUGAUGUGUAGUCUGUAAUGAAGUCCUUCUGUUUGUUUGAUGUUACCAGAGGGUAAUGUAGGAAACGACACCUUUUCACGUUGCAGUAUACAAAAGGACCCAACAUUUUAGGCCUUUCCACACUUAUUGCCAUGCCAUAAGAUCAGGUGUUUUCUGAGCAGCAUGUAGAUGAAAACAAUAAAUAUUUAACUGUGCUGAAUAGGAUCUUUCUUUAGGCUACAUAGUGAAACAUUUUCCUUUAGUGCCAGUCAAGCAAGAAAACAAUAGCCACUCUGUUUAAAAAUAAGAUGAGGUUACAGCAUUUUAUCUCAGAGCACGGUAUAGCCAAGUGAUAAAGUAAUCUGUUCUUACGUGUUUAUGGCCAUUUCAGUCUGUGUUUGGAUUGUGGUUUGCUGGAAAUCUUCUUUGAAAGCUUCUGAAGACAGGAGAAUUAGCAACUUCUGUUUCAGGCAUUCUGAAGAGAGUAGUCCUUAACCCCAGCCUUAAAAAGUUGUAGCUAAUGCCAAAUCUCCAGGAGACAACUUGCAGCAGUUCUGAAACUGUCCUUGCCCAAGGAGGCCUUCCAGCCCAGGCCUUGGCUAGAGCAGGUGUUUGAUGAAGGGUUUGUUUGGUGCUGAUGAGCCAGCGUGGUGUCUCCAUGUUGGUGGGCCAGCUUGAUGUCUCGGUGUUGGUGAGCGAGCUCAGUGUUUUGGCACUGGUAUGAUACCUUGAUAUUUUGUUUUGGUAGGAUGGCUCAGUGUCUCAGUAGGCUGGAGCUCCUUUGUUCUUCAAACAGGCUCAAUCAAGCCAACUUUGAUCUGUGUUGGUGCAGAUCUGUGCUGAACAAUAUGCUUCACCUCUAGCAGGGCUCAUUAUUUGAGGGCAAGUUUGAUAUCUUUAAGGGUACUUUCUUCUGUACUGAAGCUGAAUAAAUUGGGAUGGGCUGAAGAGAAGGCAGAAUGGUCUGGAAUUAAGCCAAAUGCAUUACCUUGUUACUAUUAUUAUGCUUGCUAGUCUCAUUAGCAUUGACUUAAAAAUUAUCAAGUAGGACUGAGUAUAGCAAAUUUAAGGAUGGUUUUCAAAUAUUAAUUCCUAAUUCUUCUCCACUGUGCACUUUUUAGGGUUUUAUUAUGACAAGAAAAGUUAAUGUUUUGUUGGUUUACGGUUGUGUUUUUGUUCUUUGGGAAGAAGAGAUACUGGAGGAUUUCUGCCUAAAGGAGCUCACUUCUCCUCUUCUCUGCAAUUUGUGGAAAGUAGGACAUCCUGGGAGUUAAAAUCAUGUGGUUCUAAUUAUGGACAUUUGGAAAUGGACAGAGGUUAAGUGAAGAGCAGUAGAAGGUGAUAGAACAACAGAAAGACUACUUUGGAAUUGAGCUGAAGAGACUGUAGCUUGUCUAGACUCACCUUUAUUCAUGUAUGAUGUUGAACUCAAAAUAAUGCCGAUACAUUUUAAUUACAUGAUACUUAAUAUGAAACAUCAUGGUAAAAAGCAUUCCGUAAAAAGGGUAGAAGGGGAACUUAUUCCUCUGCCACUGCCUUCUUGUUUUAUCUUUCCUCAGGAAAUAGUGAAUAUCUUAGCAAGUAAGUAGUGUGUGUACAUAGCAGAUCUUCUAAAAUGAAGAUAACAUUAGUCAGCACAAAGUAGUAGUCCUCACCAUUUAUCAAUUUUUCUGUAGACUUCUUGAAAUUUACUGUUUGAAUGGGUUUAAUUCUGAGUGUGUAGAUAUGAUUGCAUUUAUUACCUUUAACAUCACUGUUGCUGUGCUAUAAUAGAGAGAAGCCAAGAUGUGACUGAGGCAGAGUCUGAACUCUUUCUUCAAAAGAAAGUCCCCAUAUGCAAGUUUAAAAGUAAUUGAAAAGUAAAAUAAGAUGAACUGGGGAUACCUCAACUUAUGCUACCUUUCUUUUUUUUUUUUUUGACAAGGUGUUUUACCCUUUUUAUCAAGUACUUUUCAUCACAUUCAUGAUAAAAAUCAAUUAGAAGGUGAACUUUUUCCUAGCACUUCAAAUUAAAGACCAGUUAAGUAAGAACAAAUUUAAUACUGGGAACAUCAUGCGUGAUUCACCACUUUUAUUCACGUUGAUGAAUGGCAAAAACCACUGGCAGAUGUGAACUGGAUGAAUUUAUAUGUGUAUGGAAACUUGCUACUAAAUUUGAGGUAAUUCCACAGGUGCAUAUUCCACAGAGACUGAAGGAUUCUACUAAUGUAACGGCAAGGAUAACAUGAAUAUAAACAGGAAUUUGUAGGAAUAGGCAAUGGGUUUCCAACAUCUUUAUUAUAGAUACGAUAAAAAACGUGGAAAGAACAUGCUCGAUUUUUAAAUUUUUAAUUUGAAAAAUCACUAUUAAUAGCCUACAAUAAACAGGAUGUGGGUUUUUCAUUUGUUUUUAUCGCUUGUUAAGUUAGAAAGGUAAAGCCCUUGAACAGUUAUAGCGGGAAUCUUCAAGGCUACGUUUUGUUAACUUUGAACAAAGUCAUCCCAAGAGGACGUGUUUUUCAAGUCAAGACUGCAAAAACAAGCCCAUUAUAGUUAUUCUUGUUAAAAAAUAAACAAGGACUGUAUCCCAUUUGAAGGGAGGCAAUACUUCAUUUGUUUUAAAAUCA